GGGCCGAAGAGCCGAAGAGGACACUCUCGCGCGGUGAUUGGUCGGCUGGCCGCUCGGAGGAAAUCCGACUCUGAUUGGCAGGAGAGUCACGAACCGGUCAGCCCCGGGUCAGGGGCCGCUAGAGGAGAGGCUGCGGUGUCAAGGGGCUGAGGGGAAGCCGGGGCUGUUGAGGGCAGGGCUUUUUCUACCCGAGCGCGCCAUCACGGGCCACCGGACAAGCGCCGCCGGGUGGCAGCGGGGCGUCUCCGCACCUCCGGGGCUCCUUGUUCGCCUUGUGGGGACGGCCGGCUGCGGGAUGGCCUGGUGGGGAGGGAGCUCUCGGGCGGGACGGCUGCGUGGAGCCUGGGGCAGUUGUGCGGAGUGUGGAGACCCGCCUCCACCGGGGCCAGGGUGCGCGGGUGGGAAGCUCGCUGACCUCUGCAUGCUCCGGAAGGCAGGUGGCGGGUCCAGUCAGUCGUCCGCCCUGCAAAGCCGCCCCCCAGAGGCCGCCCCCGUAGAGCUGACUAGAUGCGCUCUCACCUUCCUGGCGGCGCGCACCUGGCCGCUGUCUUCCCGCCCCAGAGGCGCGUCCUAUCUCCCUGCUAACUUUUAGGAACACGGGCCACCGGGUCCCCGGGCCCCUGGGGAAUGGAGUCAGACUUUAUGGGAGUGAGGUCCAAGGGAAGAGCGCUCCCCAGGCAAGUUUUGUGUAGCGGGCUUUGAGAAUGGCCACUGUCUUCUCACUGUAUUGUGUGAAUACCAGUAUGUCUAGCGGGUUGGUUCUAAGGUCUGAAUGAAGUCAGGUAGUUCAAGAUUCCUGAACAUAGUAGGUUUUAAGGUUUUAGUUCUUGCCUCUCCACUCUAGACUCAACCCCCCUCCCCAUCUCCAUGCCAAGAGUACUUAGUCCUACAACAGCUCUACUGUUAGAUUUUGGAGAGCUUAUCCUGUAGAAGUAUGAGAGAAUUUUUUUCCCCUUGUAUUUUUGUUACAGAAAUUGCCUUGUGGAACAGAGUUGUUAAGCUCAUAAUAGGAAGCAUUAUAGUUAAUAUAAAAGAAAAUUUGUUGAUGAAUUCUAAUACUAUCCAAAUUCAUUUUUACGUUAAAGAUGUGCGAUUUAACAUAUACCUGGAAUGUUGCUUUCUGUACGUUAAAGAGAUCUUGGAAAGAAAUGGGCCUGAGGAGGAGCAGAAGGAUGUUAUCUGGUUUAGUGAAAGAGAAUCCUUCCCACCGUGUGAAGCAACAGCACAAAGGAGAUAGAGUAGGAGCUACAAAUUGAUAGGGUCAGAAGUCCAACACUGAUCUCACCAGCCUAAGAUCAAGUUGUCAGCAGGGCUGUGUUCUUUUCUGGAGAUUCUAGGCUCGAGUCUGUUUUCUUGCCUUUUCCAUCUUCUAGAGGCUGUCCACAGUCAUUUGCUCAUGGCCCACUGCCUUCUCUAUCUUCAAAGCCAGCAAUGUUGCAUUUCUCUAAUCAUUCUGCUAUGGUCACAUGUCUUUCUCUGAUUAUAGCCAAGAAUUGUUCUCUGCUUUUAAAAAUUCUUUGAUGAGAUUGGACCCACUGGAUAAUUCAGGUCAAUCUCCCCAUGACAAGGUCUUUAAUUACAUCUGUAAAGUCCCUUUUGCCGUGUAAAGUAAUUUAUUCACAAGUUCUGAGGGUUGGUGUAUGGACGUCUUUGGUGGACCAUUAUUCUGCGUGCCUCACUCCUGCACUGUAAAUAAGUCACUACUGAAAGGUACAUAGGUUAUGCCUUUUGAAAAUAAAGGUAAUAUUAGCUAAAUUGUUAACAGUAGUGUCAGUAUCAUUUAUUCCUCCAGUGGUUGAUGAGAGCCAAGUUUGCUUAGCAGAGUGCUAAAGUACUGCAAAGCCCACUGAUGAAUGUCUUUGUCUCCAAAGACUUUUAUUCUAGUGAGGAAGGGAGAAUAAACUCAUGUUUAUUCAGUGAAUAAACAUGAAUAAAAAUGAAUAAAAUUUAAUGUUUAUUCAAUUAAACUCAUGUUAUUUCAAUGUCUGCUAUGAGCAAGUUACUUUACAAUGAACUUCAGAUAUAGUGAUCUCAUUUAAUUUCCACAAUAGCUUUAUGAGGUAUGGUGGGCAGCCUUCAAAGAUGACCCUCAAUGAUUCCUACCACAUAGUGUUCAUAUCCUUGUAUAAUUUCCUCCUUUGAAUGUGGGCUUGACCUGGUGACUCUUCCAAGAGUCUGAUAAUAGUAAUAGGAGACCAUUUCUGAGGUUAGGUUCCAAAAACCUGUGACUUUUCUCUUGCUUACACUUUCUUGCCCUCUUACUUGCUUACUUUGGUGAAGCAAGCUGCAAUGUGGUAACUUGCCAUAGUGAGAGGUACGUGUCAAGAAACUGAGGAUGGUCUCUGGCCAACAUCCAGAAAGGAACAGAGGCUCCUAGACCAACAGCUUGUGAGGAGCUGAAUCCUGCCACAAUCAGAGCAUGAAUUCUGAAGCGGAUCCUUCCCAAGUUUAGCCUUGAAAUAAAUGCCUGAAGCUCUGCAGACACCUUGAUUCCAGCCUCGUGAGAGACCCUGAGCCAGAGGACCCAGAAUUGAAGAAAAGGAGAAGAGAACAUGACGGUUGAUUGCAUCAAAAGUGUGACACGAAUAAAAGAAUCAAGAAAUCACAUAUGUCUGUACAGAAGUCAACUAAUAAAUCAAAAGCAUGUUCUUAGCUAAGUCAGAUGUUUCUUUGAAACAGCAUAUGGUGCAAUUCCAAUAUACUCUAUAUUCAGCUACCUAACAGGCUGUCUUGUUGCUUUCAACUAGUGAAAAAUAUAGCAGCACAAAUGUUUAUAAGGCUGAUAAAACAUUUUAACUUUAUUUUAUGCCCUGAUUAGCUAUUGCUGGCCUGAUGAUUACAUUGUAAAACCUGAAAUCAUAAAUGAAGAAAAUAACCUGUUGGCAGGAGUGAACACUAAUUGUUACAAUGUCCUAUAUUAAACCUGUUCAUAGUUUCUUUUUAGUAGCUAUUUUGAUGUAAAAUUUAACAAGUUUUCUUUUAUCCCAUAUCAAGACUGUCUUUUUUUUUUUAAUGUGGAUUUAAAUUUCUACAUCAUUUGUAGAGUGGAGUCAUAAAAUUAACAUUUUUCAUGAUAAUUUUAACAAAAUCAAAUCCUCUUGACUAUAUCAUGCCUUAAUCUCUAUGUUUGAAUAAGGAAAGAAUGAAGAUUAUAAUUCUUAAAAAUAUUAUGAUGGUAAUAUUUUGCUAUAAAAGAUAAAUAAA